CUUGAGCUUGAUGUAGUCAGAGAUUGAUGUGAUCUGCGUUACUAACAUGAAGGCUUUUAUUUUACUGAUUGUUUGACUGGUAAACAAGAAUUUUCAUCUGAUCGGUUAAUAAUUAAUGCUGUGUUUAUUAGCUUUGCCUUAAAGAUUGCACAAAUUUCUGUCCUGAAGCCAAGAAAGUCUGACUCGAGGUAAACAGAACAGUUGGGAGUGAGGCAAAGUUUAUAGCAGCCCAAUAGCAAAGAAGGAAAGGACAUCAUACUGCUACAUCACAAUGGACCGCAAAGUUACUGGCAUUAUUAUCUCUCUCUUUCUGCUAUAUCUGAUAACUGCAAAAGAUGUAUCUGCAGGAAGGAUACCUAUAUUAGUGAAUCCACGCUGCCAAUGCAUCAAUAAUACAGCUCGCUUAAUCAAUCGAAAGCUAAUGAGAGAUAUUGAUAUAAUUCCAGCUUCUCCCCAUUGCCCACAUGUAGAAGUGAUAGUCACACUUAAAACUGAGCGAAGAGUUUGUCUGGAUCACGCAGCUUUGUGGGUGAGGAAUCUAAUUAACAAGCUUCUGCAGAAAAACUGAUGGCAUUUUCUGAUGAGGAUGGAUCCGGAAAGGUAUAUCGCAACUUGCAAGAAUCUGAAAAGCAAACUCUCCCAUUCUCUGAACAAUCUUUUCAAAUUUAAGUCAAUCUUCUGUUCUACAAAUUGCUGAUUUUCAUUUUCGCUAACAAGAGAAAAACAGGUUUUGAUUUCUUUUCAGAUGAAGUCUAUAAAACAGUGAAACUGCAUUCGAAUCAGGGAGUUCCAUUAUUUGUACUUAAUUAAACUAUAUCCAGCGCAACUGGAACUUGAUCAGGAAGGACAUUGAAUAUAAAGGAUUGGUAUCUUUACCUAUUUAAUCCAUAUUUGAAAUUUGAACUAUUAAAUUACUUUUGCUGCAAGGUUUUCUCAAUAAGCUCCCCAAAUAGCGCAGACAUGUUUAUUUGUUAGCAUAUGAACUUAUGUGUACUGCUUUCUGCAUUAUUAAUUAAACUGAAAUUACUUUUUGA